rnacentral:rRNA from 1 species
GUCCACACGGUAACGAUGAAUGCUAGGUGUAGGAGGUAUCGACCCCUUCUGUGCCGCAGUUAACACAAUAAGCAUUCCGCCUGGGGAGUACGGUCGCAAGAUUAAACUCAAAGGAAUUGACGGGGCCCGCACAAGCAGCGGAGCAUGUGGUUUAAUUCGACGCAACGCGAAGAACCUUACCAGGUCUUGACAUCCAGUUAAAGCUGUUGAAAGAUAGUGUCCCUUCGGGGGAACUGAGACAGGUGGUGCAUGGUUGUCGU